rnacentral:rRNA from 1 species
AUACGGAGGAUCCGAGCGUUAUCCGGAUUUAUUGGGUUUAAAGGGAGCGUAGGCGGACUAUUAAGUCAGCUGUGAAAGUUUGCGGCUCAACCGUAAAAUUGCAGUUGAUACUGGUCGUCUUGAGUGCAGUAGAGGUAGGCGGAAUUCGUGGUGUAGCGGUGAAAUGCUUAGAUAUCACGAAGAACUCCGAUUGCGAAGGCAGCUUACUGGACUGUAACUGACGCUGAUGCUCGAAAGUGUGGGUAUCAAACAGGAUUAGAUACCCUGGUAGUCCACACAGUAAACGAUGAAUACUCGCUGUUUGCGAUAUACAGUAAGCGGCCAAGCGAAAGCAUUAAGUAUUCCACCUGGGGAGUACGCCGGCAACGGUGAAACUCAAAGGAAUUGACGGGG